GACGUAGGGCGCGAGCGUUGUCCGGAAUUAUUGGGCGUAAAGAGCUCGUAGGCGGUUUGUCGCGUCGGCCGUGAAAACUUGGGGCUUAACUCCAAGCUUGCGGUCGAUACGGGCAGACUUGAGUUCGGCAGGGGAGACUGGAAUUCCUGGUGUAGCGGUGAAAUGCGCAGAUAUCAGGAGGAACACCGGUGGCGAAGGCGGGUCUCUGGGCCGAUACUGACGCUGAGGAGCGAAAGCGUGGGGAGCGAACAGG
rnacentral:rRNA from 1 species